rnacentral:lncRNA from 1 species
UUGAUUUUGUCUUGGGAAAAUAUUUUUUGUUCAAAUGUAGGAUUAGAAAAUAAAGAACAAGUGAUUUCUUAACACAAAUUGUUAAUAGUAAAUCCUGGUCUCCAGAAGGAGUACGUUGCCCUUAGCAAAACCUGUAAGCUCUUUUAAAAGAUAGCUUUUCAACUGGAGGAAGAUAAAUUCUUUAUAUGUAAGAGUCUUAGCUGCCUGUUUGUGUUUUGUAAGAAGUGACUAGAUCUAGUUUUGUUGAAAAUUAAGGCCCAGUUCGCAUUUAUCAAGUUUAGUCUGUUUUGUCUAGGGAGCUGCCCUAGCUUAGGUCUGCUCCUGGGUCUCAUUGUUAGAUGGCAGCCCUUCCUGAUCGUAAGUCAAAUGGCUCAUUUUUGUUCAGAUUCUACUGUAAUGGCCAUGCUCUUCUGCCUGACACAAACAACAAAAAGCUUGGCAGUUACUAAGAAAGUAGAGAAAUGAGGGAGGAACAGGAGAAAUUUGAGUUUUAAUUUCAAGGCCAGCUUAGGCUACAUAGCAAGACCUUAACAAAAAAAGAAAAAAAAAAAGGCUUGGCAGUAAUGAGGUUUUGUUUGUUUGUUUGUUUGUUUGUUUGUUUUAGAAAAAAUUUUUCUGUUGGGCUAUUCCUGCUCAAACUAAGAGUCAAUGUUAAUCAAUAGUCCUAUAGAUUCUAAUUUCUGAAGAGAGUAUUUUUGAUGGAACAUUGUACUAUCAGGUGACUGGGUCUUGUUGGAGAAUUUUUCCUCAGCUUGUAAUUUUCCAGCUUCCAACAGAGACUUUCACAACAGAAUGGUUUUCUCUCAGCUCAGAUCCCAGACCCUAAAUUUGGAGUUAUCUCAUUUGAGGUUUUGGGGGUAUAUGUAACACCUAGCCUCUCCCAUUUCUUUGCCUUCACAUUUAAAAAUGCCACCCAGAACUCUAAGCCAUACUAGAAUCUAAGAAUGCAUUGAGAUAUAUUUUUACAUUCUUUCUGACACAAAAUGGCAAGGCACUAAUGUUUGUG